rnacentral:rRNA from 1 species
AACGAACGCUGGCGGCAGGCCUAACACAUGCAAGUCGAGCGAGGACUUCGGUCCUAGCGGCGGACGGGUGAGUAACGCGUGGGAACGUGCCCUUUGCUUCGGAAUAGCCCUGGGAAACUGGGAGUAAUACCGGAUGAGCCCUUUGGGGGAAAGAUUUAUCGGCGAAGGAUCGGCCCGCGUUGGAUUAGGUAGUUGGUGGGGUAAUGGCCUACCAAGCCGACGAUCCAUAACUGGUUUGAGAGGAUGAUCAGCCACACUGGGACUGAGACACGGCCCAGACUCCUACGGGAGGCAGCAGUGGGGAAUCUUAGACAAUGGGGGAAACCCUGAUCUAGCCAUGCCGCGUGAGCGAUGAAGGCCUUAGGGUUGUAAAGCUCUUUCAGCUGGGAAGAUAAUGACGGUACCAGCAGAAGAAGCCCCGGCUAACUCCGUG